rnacentral:snRNA from 1 species
GUACUCGCUUCGGGGGUACAUAUACUAAAAUUGAAACGAUACAGAGAAGAUUAGCUUGGCCCCUGCCCAAGGAUGACAUGCAAAAUCAUGAAGCGUUCCACAUUUUU